UUGUAAACAAAGCCUUUGAUUGGACUAUAAGAAAAAAGGAAGCUCCAAUCCAGUUGCUCAGACUAUUUGAUUGGCUUCCUUUUUGCUAAUAGUCCAAUCAGAGGCUUUGU
rnacentral:miRNA from 1 species